rnacentral:rRNA from 1 species
AGAACGAACGCUGGCGGCAGGCCUCAAACAUGCAAGUCUAGGGGGUAGCAAUACCACCGGCGGACGGGUGCGUAACACGUGGGAAUAUACCUUUUGGUUCGGAACAACGCAGGGAAACUUGCGCUAAUACCGAAUGUGCCCUUACGGGGAAAGAUUUAUCGCCAAAGGAUUAGCCCGCGUCCGAUUAGCUAGUUGGUGAGGUAAUGGCUCACCAAGGCUCCGAUCGGUAGCUGUUCUGAGAGGAAGAUCAGCCACACUGGGACUGAGACACGGCCCAGACUCCUACGGGAGGCAGCAGUUGGGAAUCUUGGACAAUGGGGAAACCCUGAUCCAGCCAUGCCGCGUGAGUGAUGAAGGCCUUCGGGUUGUAAACUCUUUCGACGGGGACGAUAAUGACGGUACCCGUAGAAGAAGCUCCGGCUAACUUCGUGCCAGCAGCCGC